CAAGGCAACCUAUUAAAGAAUCAUUCUAGAAUUUACCUCUGGAAAAUUCUAGAUGAAGCUGAGGAAUUCUCUUUAAGUAAGACUUAUAAGUGUGACAAUGGAUAGUGUCCUGAGCCUGCAGGUCAGGCUGAAAGAUUCAGCAACCAACAAAGUGAAGAUCUAGGAGUCUAUUUUCCUUGAACCUGUGCAGAACUGAUAAAACUUAGAAGGAUUAUAGCUCCUGCAGAAAGAAAAUAAGAAGAAGUAAGAAAUUACCAUUACUCUGCCAUUGACUCAUGCUAGAUGUCAAACUGUGAUACAUGCAAAACGCAAGCACAUACAAGCUAAAGGAACAGAUUGUGGCAAUAUUUAAAAAUAUCACAACUCUCUAAAUAAGAAGCAGUUCUGAUAAGCCUAUUUGGCAUUCAUGCAAAACACCCAUAACUCUGAAAAAUCUGAAUCGUACAUUGCCAAGCCUGGGAGAACACCACCCUGUUCAGCUGGUGGGAAGUCGGACAGCAUCUGAGAAGAGGCUGGGAUCGUCAUUUUGCAAACACGUAAGACCUCUGCAUCCCUCAUAAAGAAGGUUUUUUCCUUGUUCUGGGGUUUCUUGAAACACCUGGGGUGAGGAAAACCCUCUGCAUCAGCCAAGC